GCUACAUAACGAUGCCACCAGCGAUCCGCCUGAGUUCCUUAAAUGACUCGGCGGGCAGCUUCCGGGAAACCAAAGUUUUUCGGUUCCGGGGGAAGUAUGGUUGCAAAGCUGAAACUUAAAGGAAUUGACGGAAGGGCACCACCAGGAGUGGAGCCUGCGGCUUAAUUUGACUCAACACGGGAAAACUUACCCGGCCCGGACACUGGCAGGAUUGACAGAUUGAGAGCUCUUUCUUGAUUCAGUGGGUGGUGGUGCAUGGCCGUUCUUAGUUGGUGGAGCGAUUUGUCUGGUUAAUUCCGAUAACGAACGAGACUCUAGCCUACUAAAUAGGCCACCGGCUUACUGACGUCGGUGGGACUUCUUAGAGGGACAGGCGGCGAUUCAGCCGCACGAAACAGAGCAAUAACAGGUCUGUGAUGCCCUUAGAUGUCCGGGGCCGCACGCGCGCUACACUGAAGUGAUCAGCGUGCAUUACAAACCUGCUCCGUCAGGAGUGGGGAACCCAAUGAACCUUCUUCGUGAUUGGGAUAGGGGAUUGUAAUUAUUCCCCUUGAACGAGGAAUUCCCAGUAAGCGCGAGUCAUAAGCUCGCGUUGAUUACGUCCCUGCCCUUUGUACACACCGCCCGUCGCUACUACCGAUUGAAUGAUUUAGUGAGGUCUUCGGACUGGCCGGCGCAGCUGUCUUCGGGCGGCCGCGCUGUGUUUGGAAAGAUGCCCAAACUUGAUCAUUUAGAGGAAGUAAAAGUCGUAACAAGGUUUCCGUAGUGAACCUGCGGAAGGAUCA
rnacentral:rRNA from 1 species